GUGGAGUCUCAGGUCAGCAGGGGGAGGAGUCCCAGAACCCUGAGGGAGGACUCAGCAGAUCCCUGCAUCUCAGAACUAAAAAACUUGUCCCUCUUUUCAGCUCUGGAACCCCAGGCAGGACUGUGAGGAAGGGAGGUGAGAACCUUGCUCUCAGAGUGUGACUCAGGUCAACACAGGGAGCCCCUCUGUGUGACAGACACAGUGGGUGGCAGGAUGUGACAAGAGUCCAGGUUCUCAGGGAACAGGGAGACCAAGGGGUCAAGAGCUGUGGAAUACCACAAAGCAGCACUGAAGGAGACCUGCCUUCGGGUUCCCAUCACUCAACUCCUGCCCACACUCCCACCUG
rnacentral:lncRNA from 13 species